UACGUAGGUGACCAGCGUUGUCCGGAUUUACUGGGCGUAAAGAGCGCGCAGGCGGUCGUUCAAGUCGAGUGUGAAAGCCCCCGGCUCAACUGGGGAGGGUCAUUCGAUACUGAUCGACUUGAAGGCAGGAGAGGGAAGUGGAAUUCCCGGUGUAGUGGUGAAAUGCGUAGAUAUCGGGAGGAACACCAGUGGCGAAGGCGGUUCUCUGGGCCUUACCUGACGCUGAGGAGCGAAAGCGUGGGGAGCGAACAGG
rnacentral:rRNA from 1 species